AGUUCGGACUGUAGUCUGCAACCCGACUACACGAAGCUGGAAUCGCUAGUAAUCGCGGAUCAGCAUGCCGCGGUGAAUACGUUCCCGGGUCUUGUACACACCGCCCGUCACACCAUGGGAGCCGGAAAUGCCCGAAGCCUGUGACCCAACCCAGUAGGGAGGGAGCAGUCGAAGGUGGAGCCGGUAACUGGGGUGAAGUCGUAACAAGGUAUC
rnacentral:rRNA from 1 species